rnacentral:lncRNA from 1 species
GAAGGAGGUGACCGCAUCCCGGGUAACAUCUGCCGUAGAGCACGGGGGAAGAAGAGCUAGGGCUUCGCCUCUCUGCCCUGCUCCCAGUGCAGCUGCUGGCUCUGCCUGCCGGGGGAGCGAGCCGAGCUGCGCGGGUGGCUCUUGCCCUGCGAGGGUCUGAAGCGUGGUCACGCUGGGGCAGAUAGCUUCCUUAAGGUCAGCGGUAUUACGGUUAUUGUGGCUGAUCAGUCGUGCUGGCGUUCACGGAAAACAGCUGAUCAUGGUAACAGCUGGUCCUGCACCUUUGUGAAGUCUGCACAAAGCUUGGGAAAAUCACUGAAUGCUAAGAAAAUUUAUCUUCUGGAAUGAAGAGGAAUGCGGAGUUUUUCUGCUUUGAAUCAGCUAUACUUCUUCCAAAUAGUUCAGUACUUAUGACCCUUCAGUAUGCCAGAACCAUGUGUUCCUUCCUACAGCAUGAGCUGGCUUUCCUUGUUCACAUUCCUUGCAGUCCAUCUGUCUAUAAAUGUUUUUAAGAAUACACGGAAUGAUGAUGCAAAGAUACUAAUGUGUUAAGUCAUUAACAAUAAAAAUCAAAACAGGAAAAUUUGUGGUGUAUUU